rnacentral:rRNA from 1 species
CCAAAGGACUUGGCGGUGCCCUACACCACCUAGAGGAGCCUGUUCUAUAAUCGAUAAUCCACGAUUCACCUCACCACUUCUUGCCUAAACCGCCUAUAUACCGCCGUCGUCAACUUACCCUUUGAAGGACUAAUAGUAAGUUUAAAAGUAAACACUCAAACGUCAGGUCAAGGUGUAGCGUAUGGAGCGGGAAGAAACGGGCUACAUUUUCUAUUUUAGACCAUACGGAUAAUCAGUAUGAAACCUGACUAGGAAGGAGGAUUUAGUAGUAAAAAGAAAUCAGCAAGUUCUUUUUAACACGGCCCUAGGGCGCGCACACACCGCCCGUCGCCCUCUUCGACUCUUUCACAUUUAUUUUAUAAUUCGAUAUUGGAGGCAAGAAGAGGUAAGUCGUAACAUGGUAAGUAUACCGGAAGGUGUGCUUGGCU